AGAGUCGAGUUGUUUGGGAAUGCAGCUCAAAAUGGGUGGUAAAUUCCAUCUAAAGCUAAAUAUUGGCGAGAGACCGAUAGCGAACAAGUACCGUGAGGGAAAGAUGAAAAGAACUUUGGAAAGAGAGUUAAACAGUACGUGAAAUUGUUGAAAGGGAAACGCUUGAAGUCAGUCGCGUCUGCCAGGGAUCAACCUUACUUUUGUGAGGCGUACUUCCUGGUUGAUGGGUCAGCAUCAGUUUUGGUCGCUGGAUAAAGGUCAGAGAAAUGUGGCACCUUCGGGUGUGUUAUAGUCUUUGAUCAGAUACAGUGGCUGGGACUGAGGAACUCAGCGCCGCAAGGCUGUCUUAGGAUGCUGGCAAAAUGGCUUUAAUCGACCCGUCUUGAAACACGGACCAAGGAGUCUAACAUGCCUGCGAGUGUUUGGGUGGAAAACCCGAGCGCGUAAUGAAAGUGAAAGUUGGGAUCCCUGUCAUGGGGAGCACCGACGCCCAUACCAGAAGUUUACGGACGGAUAUGCGGUAGAGCAUGUAUGUUGGGACCCGAAAGAUGGUGAACUAUGCCUGAAUAGGGCGAAGCCAGAGGAAACUCUGGUGGGAGGCUCGUAGCGAUUCUGACGUGCAAAUCGAUCGUCGGAAUUUGGGUAUAGGGCGAAAGACUAAUCGACC
rnacentral:rRNA from 1 species